AUGGUAUUGUCUGACUCCGGGGGCCACAAUAUUUGGAUGACACCAAGCAAUAACACUGCUGGAGCGCCAGGAGCUUACGCAGAGCUAAGCAACUCUGGGAACUUUGUUCUCCGGUUGCCAAGUGACACUGACAUAUGGCAGAGUUUUGAUCACCCAACCGACACAAUCCUUGCAGGCAUGAGGUUUUUGGUGAGCCACAAGGCACAGGUCGUCACACGGCUUGUUGCUUGGAAGGGGCCGGAUGAUCCAUCUUCUGGGGACUUCUCAUACAGCGGCGAUCCUAGCGCCCCAGACCUUCAGCUUGUCAUUUGGAACAAAACUAGGCCAUACUGCCGUGCUGUUUGGAACGGUGUGUCAGUGUCCGGUGGCGCAUAUCUAACCAACACCAGCUCCAUCCUUUACCAGAUGAUUGUAAACUCUGGAGACGAGUUCUACUUCACGUACGCAAUCUCCGACAACUCGGUGUACACACGCAUCACGCUUGACUACACUGGUAAAUACAAAUCUCUAGCAUGGAAGAAUCACUCGUCAUCAUGGGCACUCAGCGGUGGAUGGCCCACUGCCGCAUGCGAGCUCUAUGCCUCGUGUGGCCCAUUCAGUUACUGUGACUUGACUCAAACGGUCCCGGCUUGCCAUUGUCUUGAGGGGUUUGAGACUGUCGAUGAUGCAAACUUUUCUAAUGGAUGCCGGAGAAAGCAAGCGUUGAAAUGCGGCAAUCAAAGUCGUUUCAUGGCCUUGCCUGGGAUGAAUGUUCCUGACAAGUUCUUGCAUCUACACAACAGAAGCUUAGAUGAGUGCGAGUCUGAGUGCAGGAGCAACUGCUCAUGCACAGCUUACACUUAUGCUAACUUGAGCAACGGGGCCAUUGCCAUGGCUGACCCGUCAAGGUGCUUGGUUUGGUCAGGGGAGCUUGUCGACAUUGGGAAGGCAACCACAGGCGGUGAGAGCCUGUACUUACGGCUUGCUGAUUCUCCUGUUGACAAGGAGAUCAGUUUAGUAAAGAUUACAAUCCUAAUUACAGCAUGCCUGUUGGUACUAACAUGCCUAGGCCUUGUCUGGAUGUGCAAAUACAGAGGCAAAUUGCGAAAGAAGGAAAAGCAGAAGAGACUGUCGCAUGGAUACUUUAGCACAUUCAACAAUCUCGAAGGCAAACAUACAGAAUUUCCAUUUGUUAGCUAUGGAGACAUCCUUUAA
rnacentral:rRNA from 1 species